UACGUAGGGGGCAAGCGUUGUCCGGAAUCAUUGGGCGUAAAGCGCGCGUAGGCGGCCCUGUAAGUCCGUUGUGAAAGUCAAAGGCUCAACCUUUGAAAGCCGAUGGAUACUGUCGAGCUAGAGUCCGGAAGAGGCGAGUGGAAUUCCUGGUGUAGCGGUGGAAUGCGCAGAUAUCAGGAAGAACACCCGUGGCGAAGGCGGCUCUCUGGUACGUGACUGACGCUGAGACGCGAAAGCGUGGGGAGCGAACAGG
rnacentral:rRNA from 1 species